UUCGGUUUGACACCGGCAGUCUCGCUAGAGUACUCGGCAUGACCCGUUAGCAACUAACGAUAGGGGUUGCGCUCGUUAAGGGACUUAACCCGACACUUCACAGCACGAGCUGACGACAGCCAUGCAGCACCUGUGACCGUUCCACCCGAAGGCGUCAUUCCUGUUUCCAGGAACUAAUCCGGCCAUGUCAAACCCAGGUAAGGUUCUUCGCGUUGCCUCGAAUUAAGCAACAUGCUCCACCGCUUGUGUGAGCCCCCGUCAAUUCCUUUGAGUUUCAGCCUUGCGGCCGUACUCCCCAGGCGGGGCACUUAAUGCGUUAGCGCCGGCACCCAGGGGGUCGCUCCCUGACGGCUAGCAUCCAUCGUUUACGGCGUGGACUAC
rnacentral:misc_RNA from 1 species